AACGGGGAGAUUCAAUUGCCUCGCCGGUUAUGACCAUUUAACAGUGAUAUUUAUAUAAAUGAGACAUUAUAUGCGGUUAUGGUUUAUUCUGUAAUUGUUAUAUGGUGCUCCGCUGUUUAGUGUAUACUGUUUAUAGCCGGAGGCGUGCACUUCUCCCCUUGUAGGACGUCGUGACCCAUUGGAUUGUUAAAAUGUUGUCUAAGGCUCAUAAUGGAGACCGUGGCAUUGUGUUUCGGCAUUAAUGACCCGGACUUAUGAUGUCCCGACAUCUAUCCGAUGGUAGUAUUAUGAUGAUGGGCCGCUAAAUAAAUUAGUGAGCGUUCAGAUCCAUAACAAAUGCUUAUAUGUUAUAAUGUGGAAAUCGGAUUAUAUUUGCCGAUUCUACACAUAUGGUAUUGUUAGUUGUGGUAUUCUCGAACCGAUCCUUAUCAUCAGUCAACGGCGUUUAUGUUUUGGGUAAUUACAGGACCCGUCUUGAAACACGGACCAAGGAGUCUAGCAUGUGCGCGAGUCAUUGGGACUCUGUUAAACCUAAAGGCGUAAUGAAAGUGAAGUAUAUGUGAAUUUUCGUAAUUCACUUGUUUAAGGGAAGAUGGGUAACGUUAUUUAUGUUACCUCGCAUUCCCGGGGCGUCGCGUACUUAUUGCAAGUUGCGGCGCACCAAGAGCGUACACGCUGGGACCCGAAAGAUGGUGAACUAUGCCUGGUCAGGAUGAAGUCAGGGGAAACCCUGAUGGAGGUCCGUAGCGAUUCUGACGUGCAAAUCGA
rnacentral:rRNA from 1 species